rnacentral:rRNA from 1 species
GAUGAACGCUAGCGGGAGUCCUAACACAUGCAAGCCGAGCGGUAUUGUUUCUUCGGAAAUGAGAGAGCGGCGUACGGGUGCGGGACACGUGUGCAACCUGCCUUUAUCUGGGGGAUAGCCUUUCGAAAGGAAGAUUAAUACUCCAUAAUAUAUUGAACGGCAUCGUUUAAUAUUGAAAGCUCCGGCGGAUAGAGAUGGGCACGCGCAAGAUUAGCUAGUUGGUGAGGUAACGGCUCACCAAGGCGAUGAUCUUUAGGGGGCCUGAGAGGGUGAUCCCCCACACUGGUACUGAGACACGGACCAGACUCCUACGGGAGGCAGCAGUGAGGAAUAUUGGUCAAUGGGUGCAAGCCUGAACCAGCCAUCCCGCGUGAAGGACGACUGCCCUAUGGGUUGUAAACUUCUUUUGUAUAGGGAUAAACCUACCCUCGUGAGGGUAGCUGAAGGUACCAUACGAAUAAGCACCGGCUAACUCCGUGCCAGCCGCCGCGGUAACAC